rnacentral:tRNA from 1 species
GAAUUAAUUAAGAAGAAGCUUCUAACUUCAUUCUCAAGCAAAAUAUGUUUUUAAUUCU